GAGGGGAGGCCCAGCCAACGAGAACUGCUAACUCUUGCCCCUGAGCUUAAAACCUCAGUCCCCUU
rnacentral:tRNA from 1 species